UACGUAGGGUGCAAGCGUUGUCCGGAAUUAUUGGGCGUAAAGAGCUCGUAGGCGGUUUGUCGCGUCUGCCGUGAAAGUCCGGGGCUCAACUCCGGAUCUGCGGUGGGUACGGGCAGACUAGAGUGCGGUAGGGGUGACUGGAAUUCCUGGUGUAGCGGUGGAAUGCGCAGAUAUCAGGAGGAACACCGAUGGCGAAGGCAGGUCACUGGGCCGCAACUGACGCUGAGGAGCGAAAGCAUGGGGAGCGAACAGG
rnacentral:rRNA from 1 species